rnacentral:lncRNA from 1 species
AGAGCCUAGUGCCAGCACAUACCCAGACUGUGUGAUCCCAUUUCUCGUUGGAAUGAACAUGGAAAACAACUAAGUUUCCAGAGAUGGCUUCAUCUUCUUGAUUCAUAUUUUGCCAUAUUUUAUGAAUUUCCAAUUUUUUUUCAGACUUCAUAUAAUUGGCAUUUAAAUGAGACUCCAGAUCUGAAAUCCAUCCUCCUUGGACUGAACUGACCUCCGGAGGUUUUCCACAGCUUUGGACAAGUCAGUCAGAAGACUCCAGUGGUCAUGAUUAAAUGUUGACAGAUGUGGGAAUGAAUGUCAGGGCUUAGCAUUUUCAGGAAAUACGAGGCUAUUUUCUAACAUGGCUGCACCUUGUACAGUAGAGCCCUGGCAGUGUCACCAGCACACAUAGCUCAAAGCCAAUAGCAUCACUGCCACCAACAAGGACCUAAAGGAGACCGUACAAUAGUUGUCUUCUGGAUCUGGGUUUCACAUGCAUUUCCUCCAACUUUAUCCGCCUCUGGGACUCCCUUGGAUUGCUGAAUAGUUAUUCACAUGUAUACACAUAUCACAUUUUGUUUAUCAGUCCUGGAAAUGAUUCUUAACUAUGACAUGAAAACCAUAGCAACAAAAGGAGAAGAAAGUGAAGCAACACCAGAGCAAAAAUCCCCUGUGCAGUCAUCGAUCAAGCAAAGGUUCCCGUCUUGAAGGGUUGAAAAGCCAUCCUGGUACAAGUAUAAAUUCUAUGAGCCCUAGAUGGAGAAGAAGCCACUGUGACCUGUCACCUGAGGAAGGAGGCAACAAGGCUUGAUUUGUUGCAUCUUACACUUGACAGUUGUAAGCACUGACAUCCAGGUUCAUCUCAGAAGUUUUCUAAACUAACACACGAUAGGUGAACAUUUCUUACAACUUGGAAUAAAUCCUUGUUUGUUGUC